rnacentral:rRNA from 1 species
UACGGAGGAUGCAAGCGUUAUCCGGAUUUAUUGGGUUUAAAGGGUGCGCAGGCGGGUUUGUAAGUCAGUGGUGAAAAACUGCCGCUUAACGGUAGUCUUGCCAUUGAUACUGCAAAUCUUGAGUUUGGUUGAGGUAGGCGGAAUGUGCAGUGUAGCGGUGAAAUGCAUAGAUAUUGCACGGAACACCAAUUGCGGAGGCAGCUUACUAAACCAUUACUGACGCUCAUGCACGAAAGCGUGGGGAGCAAACAGGAUUAGA